CCUAGCCACCGUGCUUCUACACCUGCAUUGCUUGCUGUUUGGGGUUUUAGGCUGGGUUUCUGUACAGCACUUCGAGAUAUCAGCUGAUGUACUUCAGGAGGGCGUCCCUGUCCCUGCUGGGGAGUGAUUACAGGAGUGGCCAGAGUUGAGUUCCAACCUGUCAACUGGCACAGUGCACUACAUGGACAGGCCACUGGAGUAGCCAAGGACAUCCAGAGGAUCACUCUCCCCAGCACCAGUCGUCUGAGACCAUUCACCUUUGACACUCUGCUAGACCUGUUCUUCUACAACAGUCCUACCUACUGCCAGACCACAGUGGACACUGGGGCCUCAGAGGUUAACAAGCUCCACUUACUGUUCAAACACAGACACGCAGAGUUUACUGGAGCAGUGUCUGUGGUUGGACGCCUCAUGGGUUAUGGCGAAGGUGACCACAGAUGGUGUCUAGAUGCAUGGAAGAUAUAAUUAAUCCAAGAACAGUGUGAGCCUCACCCAACUCUAACUGGCUGAAGUAAUGACUACAACAGCUUUCACUAUGACCCUGUCCUUCCUGAGUCCGAGCCAGCAACUUGUGCACAGCGUCCAGUCGAAGCUAUCUACUGCCUUUUAUCUCAGGAGUGCGCAAUGGAUCCACGUGGAUUGAGCAUGGAGAGAGAUCCCGUCCAAACUUUUCAUGCUGCUGGUGUACUGGUUGGAAAAAGGACAAGACAUAAUGGACCGUGAAAGGAUAAUGGUGGCUCAGGUGAGAGAAAUCGGGACAUUAUCAAGGGCCAUCCACUUUGAACAUGAGCAUUGGACAAACUGAAAGACUAUCUGAAGAAGAAAUGGCAGAAGAAUGAGUGCCGGGAAGGAGGGGGGUGGUCAACCGUGCCUGUAAUUGAUUUAGGCUUGUGCAAAAUUGUUUAUUUGGGGUAUCAGGUUGAUCUGUCAUUAACAUGCCACUCGUGACAAAUGCUCCAGCUGAAAUGUCAUUGCCAGAAUCCAUUAAUGAAAUUGUGUAAUGAAGCAUAUGUUUAGCUGUAUGAAGCGAAGGUCUUAUGUUAAAACAUUCUACUGCAAUGGUUUUACAAGUAAGGGCUAUGGAAAGAGGAUCAGUUUCUUGUUGGAUUGUACAAUACAGAAUGAAGGGUUUGAAAGUCUUUGGUUUCAUGCAUUGAUUUAGUUUACUUAUGAUAAACAAUCAAAGAAGGUUCUAAGUAAUAACAAAAUUAAUACAAUUGAACCUUUUAACACGUACGUGAUCAUUCUAGUGGUCCCUGUAGUGUACGAUCAAACUAGUGUGAUUAGAACGCUUAUUUAGAAUGGUCUGUUGCGUCAUUCGAAACUAUCAGCAUUUGAGCUGGUCACAGUUUUCAGAAACAUUUUGCACAAACACAGUCCUUAAAGUGAUGUCCAGAAUGUGAGCAGUUUAUUUUUGGAUACAAUGUUCAGACAUUCACAGAAGUAUCUACAGCAUAACACAAUCAUUCAAACCGGGAAAAACUUAGGCUACAGUUGUCCGAGCACUAACUGAGGAAAGAUCGAGUAACAAAAAUAUGACCGCUUAUAUAACUCUCGGCUGACAAACUACAAUAUGAAUUAGCUAAUAGAAAUGAAUCACAUCACAGGUGAGCUCACCAUUGUGCGAAAGAGAGUUAAACUCUAGUGUUAAACUCGAAAGUAAGCUGACGAUGGGUAGUUUCUGUUCGCUGCCAUGCUUCCCCCCUCACAGAAACCAAAGCUAAGAAGAGUUUGGUCUGUUUAUAGUAUGCAUGAAUGGGGGUGCGUCUACCAUAGUUCACAUCCCACCAUUCAUUUCCAGAAGUUCUCAAAAAUGAGUGAACCCUUAUGCACCUCACUAGGUUAUAACAUCUUUGGUCUGACAGAAUAAUGUGCAACCCAGAAUGCAUUGUAUGUCAACAAACAUGGCUCCACACAAACAGCUGGAAAUAGUUUAGUUCAUCAUAAUCAGUACAACCUUCAAAAAAACAGUAUUUACACACAUGUGCCCAUUACAGUCUAUGCAAGAAUUGGAAUGCAUGAUUUGUCACCGGAAAUGGAAAACAUGUUAAUAAAACAGUAACUAAUUACCACAAAACAUUUUCUGAUAGUGACUUAUUGAUACAAGUUGCACAUCCCCCCCAGUCAAUCACAUAACCUCUCACUCAAUGUUAUUUAUGUACGUAGCUAGUGAGCUAAGCUGUAGCAUUAUCAAUGUAUUUCAAAAGGAGACACCUCACAAAUUCUGGAGAUUCUCUUAAAAUUCUGACAAUGAGUCUGAGUAUGAAAGUCAGGAAUCAGAUUCUGACAGUGAGGAGCUGCCCCCCCAACCUUGUAGCCAUUGAGAACCCUGAAUCUGAGGACUUCUUGUCCACGUCCCAGGUCCCUUUGAAGAUUCUGGUGGAGGCAGACCGACAGUGGAUGAAGUACAGGGGUUCUGUGGUAGCUGGAAGGCCGCCAGCCAUUUCACCCCUCCUGGCCCUGCAGUUUACUUUGAUGAGUCUCAGUUUGGAGUGCAAUGCUCCUUUCCAUUUGAUAAAGAGUGCUUCAAGUAGUUUCUGACAGAGGGGCUGGUGGGAGACAUCGUAGAAGAGACCAAUCACUAUGCCUUGGAACUACAGGAGAAGACUGCCAGGAGUGACAACCACAAUUAGUGAAAUGUAUACCUUCCUGGUGACAGUCCUUCUCAUGGGGAUAGUAAACAAGAACUCCCUAAGAGAAUACUGGAGCACAGAUCCUAUGUUUGCAACUCCCUUCUUUGCCACCCUCUUUUCCCAAGACCGCUUCCUAGUUCAGCGGCGAUGCCUACAUUUCAUCAACAAUGCUACUGCGAUCCUAAAUGACCCUGUGACACAAAAUAAAUGUUCAUACCAGCCUGACAUCAGCAUUUGGUCAGGUCUUUGUGCCAUACAAGGACCUAUGCAUUGAUGAGUACCUGAUGUUAGGGAAAGGUAAGCUGGCGUUCCGUCAAUUCCCUCCAAAAGACACCAGGUUUGGGGUCAUGUGCGAUAUGAAGACAGGAUUUGUCCAGGACAUUUUAGUUUACACCGGGUCCACCACUGACAGCCAACAUUAUGAGGGGCUUGGGGUGUCCGGGUCCGUGGUGAUGACCGUGCUGGCUCCUCAUCUCAGCAAGGGACACACUUUGUAUAUGGACAAUUGUUACAUCAGUCCCACACUCUUCCAGCAUCUGCUCUCCAACAGCACAGCGGCCUGUGGCACAGUCAGGUCGAACAGGAAGGAUAUGCGGGGAGGUGGAGUUCAAGGAGAAUGGUCAACAGCUGACAGUAGAGUGGCAUGACAAACGAGACGUCCAUGUCCUCUCCACUGUCCAUACAGCAACCAUGUUGUCCACAGGGAAGGUGCUCCACCUGACGGGAGAGAGAAAUUAAACCAGACUGUGUGCUUGACUAUUGUUAGGGAAUAAUCAGAAUUUGUUGGUAACAUAUGUAAGAGGUUUUAUAUUCAUCAAAUGUGUGUAAGUUACUUCUCAUCAGAAUGGUAUUUUUGU